GUACCAAAAGCUGGAUUUGUGGGAAAGGUUUUUUUUUAAAUAACCUUAACCAACUUGGGCUAUUUGGCAGAAUAAAGACCACACUCCACAGUGGGCUAUACCAUUUAGUAUGGUUCAUUACUAUCUUGUGGCCUACAUU
ensembl:snoRNA